rnacentral:rRNA from 1 species
AGGACGAACGCUGGCGGCGUGCUUAACACAUGCAAGUGGAGCGACGAACCAGGCUUCGGCCUGGGGCAGAGCCGCGAACGGGUGAGUAACACGUGGGUAACGUGCCCCAAUGAUCGGGACAACCCGGGGAAACCCGGGCUAAUACCGAAUGUGCUGUCCCCACACCAGUGGGGAUUGGAAAGGAAGCUUCGGCCUCCGCAUUGGGAUCGGCCCGCGGCCCAUUAGCUUGUUGGUGAGGUAAAGGCUCACCAAGGCUUCGAUGGGUAGCUGGUCUGAGAGGACGAUCAGCCACACUGGGACUGAGACACGGCCCAGACUCCUACGGGAGGCAGCAGUGGGGAAUCCUGCGCAAUGCGCGAAAGCGCGACGCAGCAACGCCGCGUGGGGGAAGAAGGGCCUUCGGGUUGUAAACCCCUUUCGGGAGGACGAAGCCAGGGCGGUUAAUAGCCGACCCUGGUGACGGUACCUCCAGAAGAAGCCCGGCUAACUACGUGCCAGCAGCCGC